AGAUGAAGAGACUGAGGCACAAAGAGCAGAAUAAUUGACCCAAGGCAACAAAUGGAACAUGGUAGACUUGGAUGGCUUUCUGGCUCCAGGUGUGUCCAUGGGGAAGUUGGUGGAAGAGAUCAGCACUUGAAUCAGGAGAUUGAGUAAAGGAGAUGGGUUCCUCAAAGUAGGUGAGUCUCAUUCAACCCAAAGAAGGUCUAAAUAGAACAAAAUGGUGGAGGAAAGGUGACUCUUCCAGUCUGAGCCGGGACAUUCAUCUUCUCAUGCCUGCCUGGGCACCUUGCCUCUCCCCCAGGACCCUGGAGACUUGGACUUGGACUCAUACCAUUGGAUUUCCCUGGUUCAUAGGUUCUUCAGAUCCAAGUUGUAUUACACUACUGGCUUUCAUGAUUCCCUAGCUUACAAUAGCAGGGGGCAAGACUUCAUGGCCUCUACUAACCGUGUAAGCCAAUUCCUGUAAUAAAUCAUUCUCUCUGGGUC